GCAGCCAGUGCCGCUCCAGGAGCUGCCGGGGCCGCCUGUCCUGCUGGCAAGCGUUCCAAUGAAACUGCUCAGGGGCUGCACGUCUUCAGCUCCUGCUGUGAAAUGGUCUGUAGAGAUAUUAACGCAUCGCUUUGGCACAGGUAUUAGCAAUAUAAUUGAACUUAGCUGAUGCUAACUCCUGGCAGAUGGAAACACAUUGGGGAUGCUUUAUAACAGUGUGGACCCUCUUAAUGCAAGCACAUGCCAGUGGACAGGAGGUCAAGGACCAAAAUGUCCCUUGUCCCCAUGACAGCUCAGCACUUGCUAAGGAAAAAAUGACUGGAAGAUGGAAGUGUGGAGCUGUCAGUGUGAUCGUGGACAUUAUUAGUGACAAAUGCAGCCCUGGGACCAGCCCUGGCAGCUUUGGAAAGCUCAGAGUGAAGCAGCGUCUGAGGUCUUGUUGGAGUGUUGUCGGAGGGGUUUUUUCCUGCGGAUCCGUCUGUCUCUGCGCCGCACACUUGUGUGGUAGUUGCACGGUGUAACCAGAGAUGAAUAUUCUGGAAACCACAAUUUAUGAUAGCUGCGAUCGCACAAGUAUCAGCUGACGAUAAAUACGUUGAUGGAUGGCAAUAAACACAGCAAUGGCAACAGCAAACACGACAUGGACACGUCCUUCUCCUUGUUCCUACUCUUCCAGCCAAGCAAGCUGAUGUCAAAACAUUCUGUUAGCUGGAGCUCCACUGUCUUUUCUCCAGUCUGUAAUUCCCCAUGAGCUAUUUGGAUGGCAAACUGAGCAAGCUAAACAGCGCGGUGCCACUAAAAGGAUAAAUUAUCCCGAUGCUACUUUUUAACAUUUUGGGAUAAAGCUUUCAAGGACUUAUUUUUCCCUCAACAUUACACCCGUUGUAACUCUCUCUGUAUAAUCUCUUCCUGCUGAAAUUAAGACCAAAGAUGCACUUGUAUGCCGUAGUUUCAACUGCAUAAAUAUCUGCUUCGCUUCUGUUGCCGCUGCUCAAGCUGUCUAAACAACGGCUGUGAAGGAUGGUAACAACUAACAUGGAAUAGCCCUGGGAAAGUAUAAUAAUGCAAACUUAGGAUGGGGGCGAGGGAAAUUGUCUUAUUUUCUUUUCUUCAGAAACAUGAACUGACUUCCCACAUUUGUUUGCUUUAGUUUGCUGAUUUGCCAGGUGCACGGAUCCAGUAGGCCAGGGCGCACCCAAGACAUUUGCCUGGAUGGUUUUCUUUCCUUUUACAUUGCUCUUCAGAUCCUGUUGCAUAAAUUAACACGUCAUUUUCCCACAUUUGGUAAUACAGAGUUAGCGGUUAAACACGGUUUCAUUCUCUUUUGCGCUUGUGUUGAAUCAACAGUGUUCAGUGUUGGGUCGGAAGCGGGUCUCAAAUUUGAUGAGUUUCAUCGGUUACUGCAUAUUCAUGUUCUGUUGUGUGUGAAAUGAUCUCUGUUUGCUCACGACUGUGACGGCAGAGACUUCUGAAGUCUGCAGUUUGUACUCUAGUUGGGUAGUUGUAUAAGCUUCUGGAUAAAAUGUUUGCAUGCUCUUAGCAAAUCUCAGUUGUGCACUGCCCAACCAGUAAGCUUUUUCAUUCGCUCCAAGUCCUGCGAAGAGUAAAUACCACAAAUUGUCCCCGCAGUGUGGGAAUUGUUUUGUCCUUCAAUCUGUGCAGAAAUAGAGAUGAACAUAAAUCAUGAAGAAUGGUACUUCCAAAACCAGCGUCAGCAGGGCUGGCCGUCACGGGCAGGUUUUGGUUCAGUGAUUUCAGAGAGGAGCCGAAAGCUGGGACUUCCAGCUGGUUUUGGAAAAGAAACUGAAGGUCUCUCUGAUUUAUCUAAAAUCCUGUUAAUUUGCACUCUGAAGUGCAAAUAGCUGAUUUUGACGCGGCUGGCUUUUAUUGUUUCAGCCCUUAGCGGUACUUCGCGUUGAUAAAUACUGUGAGGUGAAGUAAGUGUUGUCAGCAUUUAAAGCGAGGGCAGCGCAGUCCCGUAGCAGAGGACGCGUCCCUUCCCCGGAGCCUUCGCUGGCCUCGCAGCGCGGGACGAAGAGCUGGAAGAUCAGCGCCUUUAGCUUUCAAAACGAAUUUUCAUUCAGCAGUGGCUAAAGCUGGUGGACAGACGGCUUCAAAAAGCCCUUGAACUAAUACGUGUUGCCAGCCCUACAUCCUCUCUUCUGUUAGACGUUUCAUUCAUUAUGCAGUUUGAAGACAUGGUGAGAGCCAGCUCUUUUGCCAGUGUCACCCCUGCGCGGAGCUCCCCCUCCGUUCCAAAGAGCUGUCAAGAGGCAUUUUUCUUCGAAAGGGGCAGCAAUCUGAGUCUUGCCACAAUCGGCCUCUGAAGAGGAAGGGCCUUGAGUUCAGCUGGAGCUGGAUUUAAAAAAGGGAAGAAAUAAGAGGAGAGAAAACCUCCGAGGGUGUUUCCCUCAAACAGCUUCGUUAGAUGGAGAGAGUUGUACAGACUUUACAGACCCAGCUCAGUGUGUGCAAAGCGAGCGCCUCAGGUGCUGCGCGUGUUACCAGGGAAAAGAGACAUGAAAAUAACACUGCAGCUUUUCCAUCCUACGAGAGCUUCUUAAUGGCUCUGGGUAAUUAGAGGCUGCAGAGCAAAAGUGGCUAUUUUUCAUUGCAAGUCCCAUUUUAAUUCAGCUCCAACUCACCUGUUGGUGGGAGAGGGGAAACAACCAACUGUUGGCUCUGCCUUGUGAAGUGUCGGAGUUUCUUCCUAGAAAAAUGCCAGGGAUGAGAGCUGCUCGGGACCGUGGGCUCUCCAGAUGCUCCCAAUGGCCGGGAUGGACCCACACAGUGUUUCACUUGAUGGCAAAGCCAUCGGGAAAACUUGUUGUGAGGAUGUGCUAAUUUAAACUGAAGUGUGAAAAGAUUUUUCCCGGUCUGUUCAACUCUGAAUAACCUGGGACAGAAGGACCAGGUCUGGGGCUCUGGUCUCCAUCCAGCACCCAGCCCCAUGAGCUGGGUGUCCCAGUUUCUUGGGGAGCUCACUGGGUUCGCCAGGACUCUGUGCUGCCACACACGGGAAGGGAGAAAUGACUGAUUUUAUCCUAAGAAGGAAUAAGAACUGCAUUUCCCUCAUACGUUCCUUCUCCUUUCCCAUAGGCAUGAUUGGUGUCGUUUGUGCUUUCUUCCUAACACUGUGGCCCCGCGUCCUUUCUUUUAACUGACGUAGAAGCAGCUGGGAAGGAAAGAAAAAACCAGACUCUGAGUUCUGAAAUUGUCUGUGUUUGAUCUCUUUUCUCUUGAUUUUUCUGUUAAAUAGAAAACAUUUUUAGAGGAACUUCAGUCAUUCAGAGCAAAUGGAAAUUCAGACAGGAAGAGCGAAUACAUUUCUCAUGUCAAAGUACAUCUCAAACUCCUUUAAAUUCAAGGAAUUUAAAGCAUCCUGGUUUUCUGGCUGCCUGGUAUGAGGAGAAAGGAUAGGAAUUUUCUCCAAUCAUAAUAAUAUUUCCUUAAGUUGCAAGAAUUUUUUUAAGUGUUUACAAAUCCGAGUCACUUAACAGCUGCUCCCAUGAAGAACUCUGAACAGCUCAGUAUCACUAGUGCAGAGGUUUUGAAUACACGUGAAAUGUAGUUCAGCAGAUUAAUUCUGACUCCAGUCGUGACUUGCAAUUAACUUCAGUGAAGUUUUGGCACAUGGGUGUCAAGGGUUUAGAUUGCGGGGUGACAAUCAAACCCUGGCAGAUGUAUUGUUAACCUCCUCUCCUCCCCCCAUCCCCCCUUUUGCCCCUUCCCACUCAGGACAGGCGAUCGGGAGGGAAAGAAGGACAGAGAGAAGAGAGUUGGAAACAUAAAAAAUGUUUUACUAAUGCUACUGAUAAAAUAGAGAAAAUAAUACAAAAUAUACAAAACCAAUCUUGAAAGUCUCAGCAACUGCAGAGCUGGCACCUGAAGGCCUGGACUGGACUCUGCAGCCAACCGGAGCUGGAUUCAGUCUGUCACUGGCCUCAGUUCGCAGGGACAACUCGCAAGGUCCUCUCCUAAUGUCCCAUAAGGAAAAGGGAUGAGAUCCUUGUGAUCUCCCACUUUUAUAUGAAGUAUCACGUGAAUGGGAUGUUAUACACAGCUGGUCAGUUUUUGGUCACCUGUUUCUCGUUGCCCCUCUGGCGAGAUGUCCAUCCACGCUUAUCAAUAACUUCCCAUUCCAUUGCUGUGUUCACCAAAACAUGUAUCUGGUUCUCCAGGAAAAUGCAGCUAAUAUGAAGCUUUAGCUGACAGGCAAUUCACUAAAAGAGAAACUUGUUUUUUAACAAAACCAGGACACUUGAACUCUGCAGAGACAAUGAAUGUGUCUUCUGCGGAACUUCGCUUUGUCUGGUUGAGCACUUCCCUUCUUCCAAUAAUCAGCGUUGGGUCCUUGAGCACCAAAUUUGUGCUUCUACAAGUCUCACAAAAUAUAGAACUUAAAUCUGAGGCUUUAUACAUCACGUGUUUUAGGGGAGAUGUAUAUAUGUGUUCUCCACUGAUUAGUAUAUCCAUCUUACAUGGGUGUUUUAAUGAAUAUACAAAAAAUGACCAACCCUCGGCCCAAACAGAAUGAACCUUGCUUAGUAUUUGUGUGCUCAAGGAAAUAAGCAGCCAGACUAUCCAAACAGCCUGUUCGUCAUGGAGGAGCACAAGCCUGGCCAGAAGUGUUCUGAUAAAGCAAAGAGUGAACAUCAGCGGCCACAACAGCAGGUUGGAACACAGCGACGUGAUUGGAAUGGAUCCGUCACCACAGAGGAGUUAUCUGCCCAGUCCUUUAGGUAGGGAAAAUACCGACAUUUUGGGGAGACUCUGGGGGGCAGAGAUGCCAGAAGAAAACAUUCAGAGGGAAGGAGGGAGAACCCAAGAUACUCUGAGGGGACCCCAACAUCCUGCACCAUGAUUUGGGGUGAUGUUUUCAGCACCAGGAGAACGGGGAGAACCUGAGGUGUAACCCACAACCCUGCACCAGGGCUCUCUUCCUGAGCCACAUCGUCUCUCCCAUGGGAAACUGAUAAAAUUGGAUAUGUCUGUGAUUAGAGUGUUUUGGUGUCCAAAGCCAUUUAGUCUUCAUGCUUUAUUUUGAUCUCAAACAGUGGAAAGUGAGAAGUGAGGAACCAACAGAGUAAUUCCACGGAGACCGCAAGCAGCACCUUGAACAUCUCACAGAUGCUGUUGCGGUUCGACAGAAUUAUUAGUUAGUGGUUAAAGACUUCAGCAAAACCAGUAAGAGUGUGCUGAGCUUAAAAUCUAAAGAUAUUUAAGGAUGUUGAAAAAAGGGUAGAGACCCACACAACCCAUGGAAUUCAAGGAAGGCUACUCUGUCUUGUCACAAACUCAUGGUUUUUUGCCUCUGCUGGAAUUCAAACCUGUCAGCGUGAUCUGUGAAGACAGGAUGUAUCCAUUCCUCCUGUCCCUGGGAAUCUUCUGUGCUGCAAACCGGCUUAAGUCCGGGUCUAAGAUGCAAUUUGGGGAACAAGCAGAAGGAGGUGCCUGUUAUUGAAAUGCAUGUGGUCAGUGAGAUCAAAAGGCGUUUUUAAUGGUUUCACAAGUGACAGGGUGAAUAGGGAGCGAUGUCGCCAAGGAGCCAUCGGAAGGGGCAUCUCCAAAGGACCCAGUCACUCCCUGUUCCUGGAUUAAAUCACAACAGAUGAAAGACAAUGAAAUCCAAGAAAAGGCUGAAAUGUUUAAAUGUUGGAAGAUAAGCUGUUAUGAGCCAAAUCCUGCAUUUCAAAACACCCUGACGGAAUCUGAAUUUACUUUGGUUCACAACAGCAUUAGUCAAGGAUUUUAUCCGUGUCUCAAAGGACAGCCUCAGAAUUGGAGCUGAAAUGCCUUGGAAAGCUCCGUUCCAGGAAGACAAUAACUGUGACACGACCAUCUGUGCCAGUUCGGUCUGCGAAAAUUGAGUCGGAAACUCCAAAGAGCUUCCUACCCUGUUUGAAUAUUUUGGCUGCUCUAUUCAAACUCACAAGCACAGAAGGAGAGUUAAAUGAUGUUUUUUUAAUGCUUCAUUGUGAGACUACAUCAAAUACAUGGAUCUGCAUCCCACCAGAGCACUGUCCAGAUCAUUCUUGAUUAAUUAGAAAAUGAGACUCUGGCACAUCUGUAUGGCAGGACAUACCAAAAGUACAUGAUCUAGUACGAUUGUCUUGCCUGCAAUCAUUAAGUUGUGUUUAGGUGAACACAAGGGUUGUGCAGAACGAAAUCCCCGCGCUUGGUCUCGGUGUUGCGAUGGUCCUUCAGUGCUCAUCAGUGUGACCAUUGUAGACAAUACUCAUGAUUUUCCUAUACAGUCUUACAUCAGAGACGCAUUUCACUGAGGAGGGGUUUUCUUAUGGUGGUUUGUUUUCAGGCAGUGUCUUUCUACUAAAUAAUUCUGUAACCUGCACCAAUAGUCUAACAGGAGUCAGUUGAUGGUGGUUAUACCGUACUUGUCUCCACUCUUCCCGCACAGGCGUACAGAUCUUCCUUUUACCUGCUUUAUAACAAAGUUUGCAUUUAAAACCUGAACCACCCACCCUGCAAAUCCUAUUUGUAAUGGUUUAUAGCUUGGAGAAUGAGGCAAUGUGCUCUAAAUCAUGAAAUAAUAGGGCCCCCACAAAUUGCAAGCCUAAGUAGUGUAAUUAUCAUGUAAUUGUAAUGACAUUUGGCUACAUGGCUUCAGCUGUCCUGAAUAAUACACACCUUGAUGUCUACCAUUGUAAUGCAGUUUUUAGCUCCAUGUGUUUUGUAGGGAUCUGGGGUUUUGGGGUUUAUUUUUCCGUUGUUGCGUCAUUAAAUGUAUUGGAGCAUCA